AUAUAAAACACAACAGGCAGCCCACACAUACAAUAAAAAAUAUAAAGAUAACACACACACACAUACACAAUAUGUUAUCUUUAUAUCUUUUUAUUGCAUGUGUGGGCUGCCUGUUGUG